UGGGGAAUAUUGCACAAUGGGAGAAAGCCUGAUGCAGCGACGCCGCGUGAGCGAAGAAGUAUUUCGGUAUGUAAAGCUCUAUCAGCAGGGAAGAAAAAUGACGGUACCUGACUAAGAAGCCCCGGCUAACUACGUGCC
rnacentral:rRNA from 1 species